CGACUUUUUGGAGGGCGGUAUUUAUUAGAUAACAACCAAUAUUCCUCUGGUCUAUGUGGUGAAUCAUAAUAACUGAACGAAUCGCAAAGCUUUGGCUGCGAUAAGUCAUUCAAGUUUCUGCCCCAUCAGCUUUCGAUGGUAGUGUAUUGGACUACCAUGGCGUUUACGGGUAACGGAGGAUUAGGGUUCGAUUCCGGAGAGGGAGCCUGAGAAACGGCUACCACAUCUAAGGAAGGCAGCAGGCGCGUAAAUUACCCAAUCCUAAUUCAGGGAGGUAGUG
rnacentral:rRNA from 1 species